rnacentral:rRNA from 1 species
AGAUUGAACUGAAGAGUUUGAUCCUGGCUCAGAUUGAACGCUGGCGGCAUGCUUUACACAUGCAAGUCGAACGGCAGCGCGGGCUUCGGCCUGGCGGCGAGUGGCGAACGGGUGAGU